rnacentral:lncRNA from 1 species
UUUGUCUCGCUAUCAAACAACCAGAUCUCAAAACCUAAAACCAUCGAUUUCAAACAUCGCUCUCUGUCUCGAUCAUUCAAUUUAAGAGAUCCGAUCUGGAUAGAUGAUUUCAAGCUCUCAGAUCCAAACGCCGCUCAUACUCAUGUUUGUCGAUUGGAGUGUGGAUAAGCAUGUAUGUGUGAAGGAUUCAAAAGGGGAAGAGAUGCAGAAAGGAGUUGAAUAAUUCCUGGAGCUGAGAGAACAAAAGCAAAACAAAGAACAAAAACGGCUCGUGGUGCUAGUUAACUUCGUUCGUCUAUUUGGAACCCUAGAUGUUGGGCCUUGCAUUCGUCUUCUCAAAAAGUGGUGAUUUUGAUUCAGGUUUGUAGAAGUUGGUAUAGAAAACGAUCAUGUACGUGACGAAAAUGUUUCUGAUGCUGAUACCGGGUUGAAUCAGGCAAGUUUGUAGUUUCUUGGAUUAUAUGUAUCAGUAAAUGCAUUGUUUAUUAACUCUCUCAUCUGAGUAUAAGAUAUCCAACCAUUGCAUUCCAAAUCACCUUCAUUUAUUGGAGAUGAAAGAACUAAUUUAUCUGGGAAUGAAGCAGUUAAAACUGUAGCUUCAGCAAACACAGUUGGGAGAGAUGUGCGCUAGGACGACUUGCGGCUGAGCGGCUUCCCCUCCGAUGAGUUUUGGUGGCGGCAGUCGUCACAUCUGAAACCACCUAUCAUGUUUCAGCAACGGAGGAAGUAAUCUGUUUUACCGGCGGAUAACGGACUCCGUGGAGAAGCUCACCAGCGAUGGUAGUACCAGAAACGGCAGCGGUGGCUCUCUUCGUGUAUUGCUGGUUCGGGCCCGGUGUAUUUCUGGUGGAGCUCCGAUUCACAGCUAUAACAGUGGCAGUGUACAUCCCCUUGUAGUCCAUCGGGAGAUGCUGGUUUAGCAAGAUGGAUGUCAUCUGUUGCAAACCAGUGUAAGGAGAGCGAAGGACCAAAUGGUUAAUAGGAUAUAAAACUUUGCAUAAUGGGAGUUGGUGAUAACCAUCAACCAUGACACAAUUGAUGAGGAUAUUAUUUAUGAGCACAAUGAAGUUUUGAGUUUUUAUUUAAAUAUUUAUUAGGUUUUUGUUUUAUACGUUAGAUAUUUAGACUCAAUGUGACACUUGUUAGACAUUUGGAAGAUAAUCGAAGUUAUGAUAUUAUGCUU